rnacentral:rRNA from 1 species
ACGGAAGGCAGCAGUAGGGAAUAUUGCACAAUGGGGGAAACCCUGAUGCAGCAACGCCACGUGUGGGAAGACGCAUUUGGUGUGUAAACCACUGUCGUGAGGGAAUAAGGACGCUUCUCGGAGCGUUUGAAUGUACCUCGAAAGGAAGCACCGGCAAACUUCGUGCCAGCAGCCGCGGUAAUACGAGGGGUGCAAGCGUUGUUCGGAAUCACUGGGCGUAAAGGGAGCGCAGGCGGAAGUGCAAGCGGUCUGUACAAUACCGGGGCCCAACCCCGGACCUGCAGACCGGACUGCAUUUCUUUGAUAGUUCAGGGGCAAGCGGAAUUCCUGGUGUAGCGGUGGAAUGCGUAGAGAUCAGGAAGAACACCGAUGGCGAAGGCAGCUUGCUGGGGACUUAUCGACGCUCAUGCUCGAAAGUGCGGGUAGCAAACAGGAUUAGAUACCCUGGUA